CGUAACAAGGUCUCUGUUGGUGAACCAGCGGAGGGAUCAUUACUGAGUUUACGCUCUAUAACCCUUUGUGAACAUACCUAUAACUGUUGCUUCGGCGGGUAGGGUCUCCGCGACCCUCCCGGCCUCCCGCCUCCGGGCGGGUCGGCGCCCGCCGGAGGAUAACCAAACUCUGAUUUAACGACGUUUCUUCUGAGUGGUACAAGCAAAUAAUCAAAACUUUUAACAACGGAUCUCUUGGUUCUGGCAUCGAUGAAGAACGCAGCGAAAUGCGAUAAGUAAUGUGAAUUGCAGAAUUCAGUGAAUCAUCGAAUCUUUGAACGCACAUUGCGCCCGCCAGCAUUCUGGCGGGCAUGCCUGUUCGAGCGUCAUUUCAACCCUCAAGCUCUGCUUGGUGUUGGGGCCCUACAGCUGAUGUAGGCCCUCAAAGGUAGUGGCGGACCCUCCCGGAGCCUCCUUUGCGUAGUAACUUUACGUCUCGCACUGGGAUCCGGAGGGACUCUUGCCGUAAAACCCCCCAAUUUUCCAAAGGUUGACCUCGGAUCAGGUAGGAAUACCCGCUGAACUUAAGCAUAUCAAU
rnacentral:rRNA from 1 species